CUUGACGAUCAUAGAGCGUUGGAACCACCUGAUCCCUUCCCGAACUCAGAAGUGAAACGACGCAUCGCCGAUGGUAGUGUGGGGUNAUAGGCUGGGUGUGUAAGCGUUGUGAGGC
rnacentral:rRNA from 1 species